CGCUGGCGGCGUGCUUAACACAUGCAAGUCGAGGGGAAACGAUAUUGGAAGCUUGCUUCCGAUAGGCGUCGACCGGCGCACGGGUGAGUAACGCGUAUCCAACCUGCCCGUCACUUGGGAAUAACCUUGCGAAAGUAAGACUAAUGCCCAAUGACAUUUAUAGAAGGCAUCUGAAAUGAAUUAAAGAUUUAUCGGUGAUGGAUGGGGAUGCGUCUGAUUAGCUUGUUGGCGGGGUAACGGCCCACCAAGGCAACGAUCAGUAGGGGGUUCUGAGAGGAAGGUCCCCCACAUUGGAACUGAGACACGGUCCAAACUCCUACGGGAGGCAGCAGUGAGGAAUAUUGGUCAAUGGGCGAGAGCCUGAACCAGCCAAGUAGCGUGCAGGACGACGGCCCUAUGGGUUGUAAACUGCUUUUAUAAGGGAAUAAAGUGAGUCUCGUGAGACUUUUUGCAUGUACCUUAUGAAUAAGGACCGGCUAAUUCCGUG
rnacentral:rRNA from 1 species